CAUCCAUCAGUGCUCCAAGUAAGACUCCAAGAGGUCUGAAGAAACUCCUCCUUCUUCCUCUAGUUUCUGUCUAUCCUAAGUGGAGGCGCAACCUACAAAGCCAAGACAUUGUUCUGUUAUAGCAUUACUAAACUAUCAGGAGUGAAACAUUUCAUCUGCAUGAGUGGGGAUGAGUCCAGCUAACAACCAAGUUUUCUCCUAGAUGACCCUAAGGUGAGCUUGUGGAGAAGUUCCUUCAUGCGAGGGCCCAUGGAUUAAAGCCUUCAGUCUGGCUGGGGGUCAGCAGAUGCGGCAUCCCUCCCCCUGUUUGUCACAUCCUGCAAAGAAGAGAGAAGCUGAUUACAGCCGUAGGAGGAAAUGGAGUCUCGAAUUACUGAACAAUGACAACCCUUGUGAUAAAGGAGGAACUGAAAGGAGAAAUGGGAGCCAGAUCUUACUAGAGUCAAUUGCUUCUAUUGACUGUUUGGACCAUGGAAACCUGGGUUCAGCUUCCAGCUCAGGGAUCAAGCUCAAUGGAUGGUCUUGGGCCAAUCACGCUGUGUCUCAGCCUAGUCUACAUCUCAAGGUUGUAGUGCAGGAAACCUUACUGAGAGAGGCCACGAUCCCACAAUUUUCCUCCAUGACUUCCGUAUGCAGAGCUCUCUGGUCAGGAUCCAGCAGGGCCCACUCCUCCUCCAUGAAAUGCACAGCCACGUCCUCAAAGACCACUGGACCCUAAACGAAAACGGAAACAUUUCCUCCUCACAGGCAGCAUAAAGAUUAUCUACCAGGGCUGGGCACUGGAUUUGGCCAAGGUGUGAGCCAAAUUGGGCCUAUCUGGAGGGAUGCGGGUGUUGGUCAAGUCAGGUUGAGACAGCCACGGAUUACUGAAGGGUGGGAUGGAUGGCCCAGGGCGAUCCAAGGCUAUCAGGGGGCAGGGGAAUCAGGCAAGGAGGAGGGUCAGGCAUCAGGCAGGAAAACCCACAAACGAAGGAAGGAGCCCAACACCACCUGACUCCACUUCCUACCUGGUGCUCCAUAGUCUCAAGAAUCACCUUGUGAGGGAGCACCCUGCAGAAUCCCCUUUCUGCAGGCCGAGAUGGGGCAAGGAAGUGACACAGCCUCUCCCCCCAGCCAUAUGUUUCACAACCGUUUUCAAAAAACCCAAAUUAAACAUUGGCCCCGCCUCCGAACUAAUUCGGGACUGGAUGCAGGACGGGUGGUCCCCGGGUUGACCCAGGGUGGGUAGGCCUGUUAGGGGAUCCCCAGGUCAGAGCCUCAGGGCAGGGCAGAGGGGCUCUUGCACGGCCCAAAUAUCUACUGCUAACUCCUGUGCUGUUCUUAUGGGAUUGUUUUGUUGUCCAGUUAUUUACGGAUGUUGGUUUUUAAAAUUUUAAUGACAUUGCUUUGUUUUAAUGAUGGGCGUUUCUGUUUUAAUCUUUGUGCGACUGGUCUUUAUACGUCAUAAACUCCUUAGAAGCCCAUUUUGGCAUUAAACAGCACACAAAAUA